GAAUCCACGGGAUUGAGUUUGUAAUGUGUAAAUCAGUCUCACUGUCGUGGAUUUGU
rnacentral:pre_miRNA from 1 species